GAUCCUGGCUCAGGAUGAACGCUAGCUACAGGCUUAACACAUGCAAGUCGAGGGGCAGCAUGGUCUUAGCUUGCUAAGGCCGGUGGCGACCGGCGCACGGGUGAGUAACGCGUAUCCAACCUGCCUUACACUCUUGGACAGCCUUCUGAAAGGGAGAUUAAUACAAGAUGUUAUCAUGAGUAAGCACUUUCGCAUGAUUAAAGGUUUACCGGUGUAAGAUGGGGAUGCGUUCCA
rnacentral:rRNA from 1 species